rnacentral:rRNA from 1 species
GAUGAACGCUGGCGGGAGGCCUAACACAUGCAAGCCGAGCGGUAGAGUUUCUUCGGAAACUUGAGAGCGGCGCACGGGUGCGUAACACGUGUGCAACCUACCUUUAUCUGGGGGAUAGCCUUUCGAAAGGAAGAUUAAUACCCCAUAAUAUAAUGAUUGGCAUCAAUUAUUAUUGAAAACUCCGGUGGAUAGAGAUGGGCACGCGCAAGAUUAGAUAGUUGGUGAGGUAACGGCUCACCAAGUCAAUGAUCUUUAGGGGUCCUGAGAGGGAGAUCCCCCACACUGGUACUGAGACACGGACCAGACUCCUACGGGAGGCAGCAGUGAGGAAUAUUGGACAAUGGGUGAGAGCCUGAUCCAGCCAUCCCGCGUGAAGGAUGACGGUCCUAUGGAUUGUAAACUUCUUUUGUACAGGGAUAAACCUACCCUCGUGAGGGUAGCUGAAGGUACUGUACGAAUAAGCACCGGCUAACUCCGUG